AUACGGAGGAUGCGAGCGUUAUCCGGAUUUAUUGGGUUUAAAGGGUGCGUAGGCGGACUAUUAAGUCAGCGGUGAAAAGUUAAGGCUAAACCUUAAUCGUGCCGUUGAAACUGGUAGACUAGGAUGUGGAUGAUGUGACAGGAAUGUGUAGUGUAGCGGUGAAAUGCAUAGAUAUUACACAGAACACCAAUUGCGAAGGCAUGUCACAAGGCCACAAUUGACGCUGAGGCACGAAAGUGCGGGGAUCAAACAGGAUUAGAUACCCUGGUAGUCCGCACAGUAAACGAUGAUAACUAGUUGUUGGCGAUAGAAUGUCAGUGGCGCAGCGAAAGCGAUAAGUUAUCCACCUGGGGAGUACGACCGCAAGGUUGAAACUUAAAGGAAUUGACGGGG
rnacentral:rRNA from 1 species